rnacentral:rRNA from 1 species
GAGUUUGAUCAUGGCUCAGGAUGAACGCCGGCGGUGUGCCUAAUACAUGCAAGUCGUACGCACUGGCCCAACUGAUUGAUGGUGCUUGCACCUGAUCGACGAUGGAUCACCAGUGAGUGGCGGACGGGUGAGUAACACGUAGGUAACCUGCCCUGUACAGGGGGAUAACAAUCAGAAAUGACUGCUAAUACCGCAUAAGACCACAGCACCGCAUGGUGCAGGGGUAAAAACUCCGGUGGUACAGGAUGGACCCGCGUCUGAUUAGCUGGUUGGUGAGGUAACGGCUCACCAAGGCGACGAUCAGUAGCCGGCUUGAGAGAGUGAACGGCCACAUUGGGACUGAGACACGGCCCAAACUCCUACGGGAGGCAGCAGUGGGGAAUAUUGCACAAUGGGGAAACCCUGAUGCAGCAACGCCGCGUGAGUGAAGAAGUAUUUCGGUAUGUAAAGCUCUAUCAGCAGGGAAGAAAGUGACGGUACCUGACUAAGAAGCCCGGCUAAC